UGCCUCUAUGUGUUGCCCUUUCAUUUUUUCCUUGGUGAUCAGGGUGUCAAAUGAGGCAUACAGGGACACUUGUGACUGUCUGUAUAAUGAGUUUCAUGUGACUCCUUAACACACAAACAGCUGCAAGGACACAU
rnacentral:snoRNA from 1 species